AUCCAUAUGACGAGUCCCAAAUAAGAUGAAAUACGCGUCCAACUGGAU
rfam:Schistosoma mansoni strain Puerto Rico chromosome 2, complete genome